UACGAAGGGGGCUAGCGUUGCUCGGAAUCACUGGGCGUAAAGGGUGCGUAGGCGGGUUUUUAAGUCAGGGGUGAAGUCCUGGAGCUCAACUCCAGAACUGCCUUUGAUACUGAAGAUCUUGAGUCCGGGAGAGGUGAGUGGAACUCCUGGUGUAGCGGUGGAAUGCGCAGAUAUCAGGAAGAACACCAACGGCGAAGGCAGCUCGCUGGGACGGUACUGACGCUGAGACGCGAAAGCGUGGGGGAGCGAACAGG
rnacentral:rRNA from 1 species